rnacentral:piRNA from 1 species
UCACCGAGAAGGACUUGGAACUGGAGCA